UAAUCUACCUCCAAGAUGGGGAUAACCUUCCGAAAGGAGGGCUAAUACCGAAUGAGACCACAGUUACUUCGGUAACAGAGGUCAAAGGUGGCCUCUACUUGUAAGCUAUCGCUUGGGGAUGAGUUUAUGCACCAUCAGCUAGUUGGUAGGGUAACGGCCUACCAAGGCUUUGACGGUUAGCUGAUCUGAGGGGUUGAUCAGCCACACUGGAACUGAGACACGGUCCAG
rnacentral:rRNA from 1 species